GGGUGACGAGUGGCGGACGGGUGAGUAAUGUCUGGGGAUCUGCCCGAUAGAGGGGGAUAACCACUGGAAACGGUGGCUAAUACCGCAUAACGUCGCAAGACCAAAGAGGGGGACCUUCGGGCCUCUCACUAUCGGAUGAACCCAGAUGGGAUUAGCUAGUAGGCGGGGUAAUGGCCCACCUAGGCGACGAUCCCUAGCUGGUCUGAGAGGAUGACCAGCCACACUGGAACUGAGACACGGUCCAGACUCCUACGGGAGGCAGCAGUGGGGAAUAUUGCACAAUGGGCGCAAGCCUGAUGCAGCCAUGCCGCGUGUAUGAAGAAGGCCUUCGGGUUGUAAAGUACUUUCAGCGGGGAGGAAGGCGAUGCGGUUAAUAACCGCGUCGAUUGACGUACCCGCAGAAGA
rnacentral:rRNA from 1 species